rnacentral:rRNA from 1 species
UACGGGGGGGGCAAGCGUUGUUCGGAAUUACUGGGCGUAAAGGGCUCGUAGGCGGCCAACUAAGUCAGACGUGAAAUCCCCAGGCUCAACCUGGGAACUGCGUCUGAUACUGGAUGGCUUGAAUCCGGGAGAGGGAUGCAGAAUUCCAGGUGUAGCGGUGAAAUGCGUAGAGAUCGGGAGGAACACCAGUGGCGAAGGCGGCUCGCUGGGCCGGACCUGACGCUGAGACGCGAAGGCGUGGGGAGCGAACGGG